UGACAAAUAUACUUAACCGUUCUUACGAGUAAGGGUUUCAAAUUCAUUAUUGCGAUCGAAAAAAUCCAAGGAGUUCAAUUCAUCCACCGACUGCAUUAAGUUAUGGAAUCGUCUCAUGGCAAUGAGGUUAUUGUACCAGAUACAACAAGUGAUUCCUCUAUGUCACCAGAAAAGAAAAGAAAGAAGGUGGUUUCUAAUCAGCAGUCCAGGAUGUUGAAAGGUGGUAUGUUUAGAUAUAAUUUUUUUUCAAUUUAAUAAACAUGUCUUCUAUACUCGGUUGUAAUUAUUGUAUGUUAUAUAUAUCAAUAGGUAAACAACAAGUUUCUUUC